rnacentral:rRNA from 1 species
AAGGUAUUGUAAUAAGGUUUUAAUUGAAUGCUAAAAGAAUGGAAUUACAGGGAAAAGUUUUUUUAAAUUUAAUAAUUGAAGUUAUUUUAAUUUGUGAAGAAACAAUUAUAUAAAUUAAAGACAAGAAGACCCUAAGAAUUUAAGAAUUUUUAUUAAUAUAUUAUAUGUAUAUAUAUAUAAAUAAAAUUCUUAGUUGGGGCAACUAAAAAAUAUAUUAAACUUUUUUUUUUAAAAAAAUGACCCAUUAUUAAUGAUAAUAUGAAAAAAAUACUCUAGGGAUAACAGCGUAAUAAUUUUUGAUAGAUCUUAUAGACAAAAUAGUUUGCGACCUCGAUGUUGGAUUAGGAUACUUUUUUAAUGAAGAUGU